rnacentral:rRNA from 1 species
AGUGAACGCUGGCGGUAGGCCUAACACAUGCAAGUCGAACGGCAGCACAGGAGAGCUUGCUCCCUGGGUGGCGAGUGGCGGACGGGUGAGGAAUACAUCGGAAUCUGCCCAGUCGUGGGGGAUAACGUAGGGAAACUUACGCUAAUACCGCAUACGACCUUCGGGUGAAAGAGGGGGAUCGCAAGACCUCUCGCGAUUGGAUGAGCCGAUGUCGGAUUAGCUAGUUGGCGGGGUAAUGGCCCACCAAGGCGACGAUCCGUAGCUGGUCUGAGAGGAUGAUCAGCCACACUGGAACUGAGACACGGUCCAGACUCCUACGGGAGGCAGCAGUGGGGAAUAUUGGACAAUGGGCGCAAGCCUGAUCCAGCCAUACCGCGUGGGUGAAGAAGGCCUUCGGGUUGUAAAGCCCUUUUGUUGGGAAAGAAAUCUUUCAGGCUAAUACCCUGGGAGGAUGACGGUACCCAAAGAAUAAGCACCGGCUAACUUCGUG